rnacentral:rRNA from 1 species
GACGAACGCUGGCGGCGUGCCUAAUACAUGCAAGUUGAGCGCUGAAGGUUGGUACUUGUACCAACUGGAUGAGCAGCGAACGGGUGAGUAACGCGUGGGAAUCUGCCUUUUAGCGGGGGACAACAUUUGGAAACGAAUGCUAAUACCGCAUAAAAACUUUAAACUCCAGUUUUAAGUUUUAAAUAUGCAAUUGCAUCACUCAAAGAUGAUCCCGCGUUGUAUUAGCUAGUUGGUGAGGUAAAGGCUCACCAAGGCGAUGAUACAUAGCCGACCUGAGAGGGGGAUCGGCCACAUUGGGAAUGAGACACGGCCCAAACUCCUACGGGAGGCAGCAGUAGGGAAUCUUCGGCAAUGGACGAAAGUCUGACCGAGCAACGCCGCGUGAGUGAAGAAGGUUUUCGGAUCGUAAAACUCUGUUGGUAGAGAAGAACGUUGGUGAGAGUGGAAAGCUCAUCAAGUGACGGUAACUACCCAGAAAGGGACGGCUAACUACGUG